GAUGAACGCUAGCGGCAGGCCUAACACAUGCAAGUCGAGGGGCAGCACAGAAACAGCAAUGUUUUGGUGGCGACCGGCGGACGGGUGCGUAACGCGUAUGCAGCCUACCUUUAACAGGGGGAUAACGGAGAGAAAUUUCCACUAAUACCCCAUAACAUCGAUCAAGGCAUCUUGAUUGGUUGAAAACUCCGGUGGUUAAAGAUGGGCAUGCGUUGUAUUAGGUAGUUGGUGAGGUAAUGGCUCACCAAGCCUACGAUACAUAGGGGGACUGAGAGGUUAGCCCCCCACACUGGUACUGAGACACGGACCAGACUCCUACGGGAGGCAGCAGUGAGGAAUAUUGGUCAAUGGGGGCAACCCUGAACCAGCCAUGCCGCGUGCAGGAAGACGGCUCUAUGAGUUGUAAACUGCUUUUAAACAGGGAUAAAGCACAGUAUGUAUACUGUGUUGAAGGUACUGUAAGAAUAAGGAUCGGCUAACUCCGUGCCAGCAGCCGCGGUAA
rnacentral:rRNA from 1 species